GGGGAAGCUAAUACUGCAGUCGAGCGAGCUUGCCUAGAUGAUUUUAGUGCUUGCACUAAAUGAAACUAGAUACAAGCGAGCGGCGGACGGGUGAGUAACACGUGGGUAACCUGCCCAAGAGACUGGGAUAACACCUGGAAACAGAUGCUAAUACCGGAUAACAACACUAGACGCAUGUCUAGAGUUUGAAAGAUGGUUCUGCUAUCACUCUUGGAUGGACCUGCGGUGCGUUAGCUAGUUGGUAAGGUAACGGCUUACCAAGGCAAUGAUGCAUAGCCGAGUUGAGAGACUGAUCGGCCACAUUGGGACUGAGACACGGCCCAAACUCCUACGGGAGGCAGCAGUAGGGAAUCUUCCACAAUGGACGAAAGUCUGAUGGAGCAACGCCGCGUGAGUGAAGAAGGGUUUCGGCUCGUAAAGCUCUGUUGGUAGUGAAGAAAGAUAGAGGUAGUAACUGGCCUUUAUUUGACGGUAAUUACUUAGAAAGUCACGGCUAACUACGUGCCAGCAGCCGCGGUAAUACGUAGGUGGCAAGCGUUGUCCGGAUUUAUUGGGCGUAAAGCGAGUGCAGGCGGUUCAAUAAGUCUGAUGUGAAAGCCUUCGGCUCAACCGGAGAAUUGCAUCAGAAACUGUUGAACUUGAGUGCAGAAGAGGAGAGUGGAACUCCAUGUGUAGCGGUGGAAUGCGUAGAUAUAUGGAAGAACACCAGUGGCGAAGGCGGCUCUCUGGUCUGCAACUGACGCUGAGGCU
rnacentral:rRNA from 1 species